rnacentral:rRNA from 1 species
AUUGAACGCUGGCGGCAGGCUUAACACAUGCAAGUCGAGCGGAGCGAGGGUGCUUGCACCUUAGCUUAGCGGCGGACGGGUGAGUAAUGCUUAGGAAUCUGCCUAUUAGUGGGGGACAACAUUCCGAAAGGAAUGCUAAUACCGCAUACGCCCUACGGGGCAAAGCAGGGGAUCUUCGGACCUCGCGCUAAUAGAUGAGCCUAAGUCGGAUUAGCUAGUUGGUGGGGUAACGGCCUACCAAGGCGACGAUCUGUAGCGGGUCUGAGAGGAUGAUCCGCCACACUGGGACUGAGACACGGCCCAGACUCCUACGGGAGGCAGCAGUGGGGAAUAUUGGACAAUGGGCGGAAGCCUGAUCCAGCCAUGCCGCGUGUGUGAAGAAGGCCUUUUGGUUGUAAAGCACUUUAAGCGAGGAGGAGGCUACUUAGAUUAAUACUCUGGGAUAGUGGACGUUACUCGCAGAAUAAGCACCGGCUAACUCUGUGCCAGCCGCCGCCGUAA